AAUUUGGGUCCUCUCGUGAAUGACGGGUUAAACUGAGUGAAUUUUGCUGAUGCUCUUAUUUUGAAAUCUAACUGGACGUUCUCUAAGAGGAGGAGUUAUGGAGGCAUAUAAUCAGUCCUCUGUUGGUUUAUCUAAGUUUUACAGCCAUGCCAAGAAAAUCAAUCAACAAACAAAAUUAAAGUCAUAAUAUUAUAUUACAACUUUAUUCCUGUAUGGCUUUAUCUCUCAUAAUGUUUUUAUUCAUUUCUUAUUUUGGGCCCAAUGCUGCGUCGUUCUGUAGCAAGCUGCUGAAAGUAAAUGAAUAAAUGCAAGUCUGAUGCCAGACAAGUUAGUUAGCCGUGUUAAAAAAUAAUUUAAUGUCUGACAUUAAUUCCAUCCAAUCAGGUGCUACUGCUGAGAAACGCCCACUUUGUCUGCAGACACGCCCACUUCGUGCUCAUUGGCCGAAAUAAAAUCUUCACAUCAUGAUGAUGGCAUAGUGACUUUAUUCUGAGGCAGAACAAUGAGGCAUUCUGGGUAAAUCUGAGGUUCUUCAGGACAAACAACAACAGACUCCAUGAGACAUGAACGGAUAAAUUAUUCUUCCAGUUAGUCAGUUCUGGUUCUGGUUCUGGUUCUGGUUCUCCUCCCAGCCACCAGGGGGCAGCAGCUGCAUAUUCAGCCUCAUUUCCAGAAAGUUAAAAUAUCCUGUAGUUAUCUCAUAUUUAUGAAGUUUGUAUAUGUUUUAAAAUAAAUAAGAUAUAUAAAAUAAACUACCAACUUCGGUUGGCGUUUUCGCUGUUCUCAAACUGGCUCAAAACUCAACAUCAAAUUUUAUACAGAUUUUUGUAUCGACACAAAAACAAAGGAUUUCUGUUCGAAGUUUAAUUCAAGUCAAGAUGUGUAAUUUAACUGUGGCCUGCUUCGCUUGUAAAGUUUAAUCUGUUUUAUUUUUGGAGAAUCUAAACCGUUAGGAAUCAGGUCACUGGAGUUUGAUAAACAUGGGCCCCAAACAGCUAGGCUCCCAAACAGCUAGGGCCCCAACAGUUAUGGCCCCAAACAGUUAGGGCCCCAACAGCUAGGCUCCCAAACAGCUAGGGCCCCCAAACAGUUAGGGCCCCAACAGCUAGGCUCCCAAACAGCUAGGGCCCCAACAGCUAGGGCCCCAACAGCUAGGGCCCCAACAGCUAGGCUCCCAAACAUCUAGGGCCCCAACAGCUAGGGCCAGCCCUGACGCUGCAGGUUCUCAGGUUCCUCCACAUCUUCCCCUCAUAAAUCUGCCGGUUUCUCAUGCUGAAUGAAGCUCAGUGGUUGAACUUUGACCCUGAUGUUUCCAGGUGAGUCCGGCUCGAU